rnacentral:rRNA from 1 species
CCUUAGAGUUUGAUCCUGGCUCAGAUUGAACGCUGGCGGCAGGCUUAACACAUGCAAGUCGAGCGGAAACGAUGAUAGCUUGCUAUCAGGCGUCGAGCGGCGGACGGGUGAGUAAUACUUAGGAAUCUACCUAGUAGUGGGGGAUAGCACGGGGAAACUCGUAUUAAUACCGCAUACGACCUACGGGAGAAAGGGGGCAGUUUACUGCUCUCGCUAUUAGAUGAGCCUAAGUCGGAUUAGCUAGAUGGUGGGGUAAAGGCCUACCAUGGCGACGAUCUGUAGCUGGUCUGAGAGGAUGAUCAGCCACACCGGGACUGAGACACGGCCCGGACUCCUACGGGAGGCAGCAGUGGGGAAUAUUGGACAAUGGGGGAAACCCUGAUCCAGCCAUGCCGCGUGUGUGAAGAAGGCCUUUUGGUUGUAAAGCACUUUAAGCAGUGAAGAAGACUCCGUGGUUAAUACCCACGGACGAUGACAUUAGCUGCAGAAUAAGCACCGGCUAACUCUGUGCCAGCAGCCGCGGUAAUACAGAGGGUGCAAGCGUUAAUCGGAAUUACUGGGCGUAAAGGGAGCGUAGGUGGCUCUAUAAGUCAGAUGUGAAAUCCCCGGGCUCAACCUGGGAACUGCAUCUGAAACUGUAGAGCUAGAGUAUGUGAGAGGAAGGUAGAAUUCCAGGUGUAGCGGUGAAAUGCGUAGAGAUCUGGAGGAAUACCGAUGGCGAAGGCAGCCUUCUGGCAUAAUACUGACACUGAGGCUCGAAAGCGUGGGUAGCAAACAGGAUUAGAUACCCUGGUAGUCCACGCCGUAAACGAUGUCUACUAGUCGUUGGGUCCCUUGAGGACUUAGUGACGCAGCUAACGCAAUAAGUAGACCGCCUGGGGAGUACGGCCGCAAGGUUAAAACUCAAAUGAAUUGACGGGGGCCCGCACAAGCGGUGGAGCAUGUGGUUUAAUUCGAUGCAACGCGAAGAACCUUACCUGGUCUUGACAUAUCUAGAAUCCUGCAGAGAUGCGGGAGUGCCUUCGGGAAUUAGAAUACAGGUGCUGCAUGGCUGUCGUCAGCUCGUGUCGUGAGAUGUUGGGUUAAGUCCCGCAACGAGCGCAACCCUUGUCCUUAGUUACCAGCGGGUUAAGCCGGGAACUCUAAGGAUACUGCCAGUGACAAACUGGAGGAAGGCGGGGACGACGUCAAGUCAUCAUGGCCCUUACGACCAGGGCUACACACGUGCUACAAUGGUAGGUACAGAGGGCAGCUACACAGCGAUGUGAUGCGAAUCUCAAAAAGCCUAUCGUAGUCCAGAUUGGAGUCUGCAACUCGACUCCAUGAAGUAGGAAUCGCUAGUAAUCGCGGAUCAGAAUGCCGCGGUGAAUACGUUCCCGGGCCUUGUACACACCGCCCGUCACACCAUGGGAGUUGAUUGCACCAGAAGUGGAUAGCUUAACCUUCGGGGAGGCGUUCACCACGGUGUGGUUGAUGACUGGGGUGAAGUCGUAACAAGGUAGCCGUAGGGGAACCUGCGGCUGGAUCA